rnacentral:miRNA from 1 species
GAAAUGCCUCCAUGAGAUCCAACUGUAAGACAUUUUCUCAAUUAGUGAUCAGUGGGAAAGGGUCCAGCCUAUAGUGGGUGGUACCAUCCCUGGACUGAUAGUCCU